GCGUGCGUAGCUCAGCUGGAUAGAGCGUCUGGCUACGGACCAGAAGGUCGAGGGUUCGAAUCCUUUCGCACGCA
rnacentral:tRNA from 1 species